UGAAGAUGAAGAGCUUUAGGCUGGCCAUCCCUGGAUUAGUACAAUGUGCAAUGGGGAAGACCUUGCUAUGAAAAUAGGAGCGUUAGAAGUGUGUCCCCAUUUUCACCUGUGAAAUGUUGAAAGGUGCAAACGUGCUAGAGCUUCUUUUUCAAUGACAGAAUACAUCUUCUCUGAUGCAGUAAGCACUCUGGAAGCAAAGGCUGGAGGAUGCUUGGCCUUGAAGUCUUAUAACUUUAUUUCCACCACUGAAGGAAAGGUGAUCAUCUUGACAAAGGAUUCAGAAGCUUAUGUAAUCAAAUGAGAUCAAAUCUACAUAUCUCUUGACUGUAUUGCAAUUUAUAUAUGUUCAAACAAGGCAAAUAACAGUUAAAUACAAAGCAUGGAAAUCUUUCGAAAGAUGUUUUUUAAAAUCACCUCUGAGAAUAUUGUCCUGCAUUUGGAAUAAAAUAAGCAAUCAGA